rnacentral:rRNA from 1 species
AGCGAACGCUGGCGGCAGGCUUAACACAUGCAAGUCGAGCGGGCAUAGCAAUAUGUCAGCGGCAGACGGGUGAGUAACGCGUGGGAACGUACCUUUUGGUUCGGAACAACUGAGGGAAACUUCAGCUAAUACCGGAUAAGCCCUUACGGGGAAAGAUUUAUCGAUGAAAGAUCGGCCCGCGUCGUGUAAGCGAGUUGGUGAGGUAAUGGCUCACCAAGGCGACGAUCAGUAGCUGGUCUGAGAGGAUGAUCAGCCACAUUGGGACUGAGACACGGCCCAAACUCCUACGGGAGGCAGCAGUGGGGAAUAUUGGACAAUGGGCGCAAGCCUGAUCCAGCCAUGCCGCGUGAGUGAUGAAGGCCCUAGGGUUGUAAAGCUCUUUUGUGCGGGAAGAUAAUGACGGUACCGCAAGAAUAAGCCCCGGCUAACUUCGUGCCAGCCGCCGCGGUAA